GACGAACGCUGGCGGCGUGCUUAACACAUGCAAGUCGAACGGAAAGGCCCUGCUUGCCGGGUGCUCGAGUGGCGAACGGGUGAGUAGCACGUGGGUGAUCUGCCCCUUACUUUGGGAUAAGCCUGGGAAACUGGGUCUAAUACUGGAUAGGACCAUGCUGUAGGUGGUGUGGUGGAAAGAUUAGUUUCGGUAAGGGAUGAGCUCGCGGCCUAUCAGCUUGUUGGUGGGGUAAUGGCCUACCAAGGCGUCGACGGGUAGCCGGCCUGAGAGGGUGGACGGCCACAUUGGGACUGAGAUACGGCCCAGACUCCUACGGGAGGCAGCAGUGGGGAAUAUUGCACAAUGGGCGCAAGCCUGAUGCAGCGACGCCGCGUGGGGGAUGACGGCCUUCGGGUUGUAAACUCCUUUCAGCCAUGACGAAGCCCUUGUGGUGACGGUAGUGGUAGAAGAAGCACCGGCUAACUACGUG
rnacentral:rRNA from 1 species